AUUGAACGCUGGCGGCAGGCCUAACACAUGCAAGUCGAGCGAGCGGCGGACGGGUGAGUAAUGUCUGGGAAACUGCCUGAUGAAGGGGGAUAACUACUGGAAACGUUAGCUAAUACCGCAUACCAUCAGAUGUGCCCAGAUGGGAUUAGCUAGUAGGUGGGGUAACGGCCCACCUAGGCGACGAUCCCUAGCUGGUCUGAGAGGAUGACCGGCGAACUGGGAACGGGGACAGGGUCCAGACUACUACGGUAGGCAGCAGAGGGGAAUAUGGAACAAUGGGGGCAAGCCUGAUGCAGGCAUGGCGCGUGUGUGAAGAAGGCCUGGGGGUUGGAAAGCACGUUCAGCGGGGAGGCGUUACCCGCAGAAGAAGCACCGGCUAACUCCGUGCCAGCAGCCGCGGUAAUAC
rnacentral:rRNA from 1 species